UGUUCUGUAGCUUAGUUGGUUAAAGCGCCGGACUAGCGAUAACGGAGUCGUGGGUUCGACUCCCACCAAAACAA
rnacentral:tRNA from 1 species